rnacentral:lncRNA from 13 species
AUUACAUGGAGAGCUGGGUUUAACUGUGCUAACUGCUUUGCGAAAGGAAAAUCCUCCUGAAAUUAAAUAAUCAAAGAAGAUAGGUCUUUUGGCUCAAUUCUGAAUAAACAGUGCACAUCCAUGUGGGAGCAAUGAGGAGGAACUGUAGCAUCUGGGUGUUUUUCUUCAACAACAAAUGUAUCUGCCAAUGGGAAGUACUUUCUGAAGAAUUUUGAACUUUGACAUCUUAUAAUAAAUGUCCCACCAUCUCUGGUAAGUAGGAGCUU